UAACUCACAUCCACCAACGCCAGGGUAUUACGAGCUUUAGCUUAAAACCCAAAGGACUUGACGGUGUCCCAUCCACCUAGAGGAGCCUGUUCCAUCAUCGAUAAUCCCCGCUACACCUAACCACCCCUUGCCAAUCAGUCUGUAUACCUCCGUCGUAAACUUACCAUGUGAGUGCUCACAGUAAGUUUAAUGGCCACCAUCACCAAUACGUCAGGUCAAGGUGCAGCUUAUGGGGCGGCAGGCAAUGGGCUACAAUUUCUAUACUAGAACAAACGAAACGCUGCAUGAAAUACAGCCACGAAGGCGGAUUUAGUAGUAAAAAGAAAAUAAUGUGUUCUUUUUAACUAGGCCCUGGGACGUGU
rnacentral:rRNA from 1 species